rnacentral:rRNA from 1 species
UACGUAGGGGGGCAAGCGUUGUCCGGAUUUAUUGGGCGUAAAGAGCGUGUAGGCGGUUUGGUAGGUCCGCUGUGAAAAACUCGAGGCUCAACCUCGAGACGCCGGUGGAAACCAUCAGGCUAGAGUCCGGAAGAGAAGAGUGGAAUUCCACGUGUAGCGGUGAAAUGCGUAGAGAUGUGGAGGAACACCAGUGGCGAAGGCGACUCUUUGGUCUGUAACUGACGCUGAGGCGCGAAAAGCGUGGGGGAGCAAACAGG